CGCGUAGGCGGCUUUUUAAGUCCGGUGUGAAAGUCCUGCUUUUAAGGUGGGAAUUGCAUUGGAAACUGGAAAGCUUGAGUGCAGGAGAGGUAAGUGGAAUUCCCGGUGUAGCGGUGAAAUGCGUAGAGAUCGGGAGGAACACCAGUGGCGAAGGCGACUUACUGGACUGUAACUGACGCUGAGGCGCGAAAGUGUGGGGAGCAAACA
rnacentral:rRNA from 1 species